CUCGUCAGCAUCGUUGUUGCUGAAAUGUUUGAAAAGUAUGGACGUGCUCCCCCUAUGGAUAAAAGAGCACAGUAUGCAUUGGGGAUAGUAACACUGUUCCCCUCUCUAAAAGAUCCCUACUCCAAAAAAGGCUAUGAACACUUUUUUGACAUAGACAGCAAUGAGGGCUACA